CCUCUACCAAGCUCUCCUUCCAGCUGUGUCCUCUUCCACUGCUCCUAACAACAGGUUUGGUCAUUGGUGCCCAAGAGGAAAAAGGAACUUCAAUCCAAAUAAUAAAUCUGGAAGAGGAGAAGCAGGGGGCAGAAUGAAGAAUGUUACAGGCUCCAGUGCUCACCCUAGCAGAAUCUUCAACCUCUGCUGCUGGAGAAACAGCCUCAGCCAAAAGCCUGGAAAGCUGAGUUUUCCCUGCUGAUGUGUCAGCUUUUCCAAUAUUCCUGCAACCUGUACUCUUACAAUCC